ACGGAGGGUGCAAGCGUUGUCCGGAUUUAUUGGGUUUAAAGGGUGCGUAGGCGGCUAUUUAAGUCAGCGGUGAAAGACUCCGGCUUAACCGGAGCAGUGCCAUUGAUACUGGAUAGCUUGAGUGUUGGAGGGGUACAUGGAAUUGAUGGUGUAGCGGUGAAAUGCAUAGAUACCAUCAGGAACACCGAUAGCGAAGGCAUUGUACUGGCCAACAACUGACGCUGAGGCACGAAAGUGUGGGGAUCGAACAGGAUUAGAUACCCUGGUAGUCCACACUGUAAACGAUGAUUACUCGCUGUUAUGCUGUAUAGUGUAGCGGCCAAGCGAAAGCGUUAAGUAAUCCACCUGGGGAGUACGCCGGCAACGGUG
rnacentral:rRNA from 1 species